CACGUAGGGUCCGAGCGUUGUCCGGAAUUACUGGGCGUAAAAGCGCGCGCAGGCGGUCCAUUCAGUCGCUGGUGAAAAGCCCCCACGCUCAACGUGGGAAAGGUCCGGCGAGACGGGUGGACUGGAGGCAGGGAGAGGUCGGUGGAAUUCCGGGUGUAGUGGUGAAAUGCGUAGAGAUCCGGAGGAACACCAGAGGCGAAGGCGGCCGACUGGACCUGACCUGACGCUGAGGCGCGAAGGCGUGGGGAGCGAACGGG
rnacentral:rRNA from 1 species